rnacentral:rRNA from 1 species
CUAUACAUGCAAGUCGAACGCGUCUCCGUUGAUGAUUUUAGGUGCUUGCACUUGAAAGAUUUAACAUUGAGACGAGUGGCGAACUGGUGAGUAACACGUGGGUAACCUGCCCUUGAAGUAGGGGAUAACACUUGGAAACAGGUGCUAAUACCGUAUAACAACCAAAACCACCUGGUUUUGGUUUAAAAGACGGCUUCGGCUGUCACUUUAGGAUGGACCCGCGGCGUAUUAGCUUGUUGGUAAGGUAACGGCCUACCAAGGCGAUGAUACGUAGCCGACCUGAGGGGGUAAUCGGCCACAUUGGGACUGAGACACGGCCCAAACUCCUACGGGAGGCAGCAGUAGGGAAUCUUCCACAAUGGACGAAAGUCUGAUGGAGCAACGCCGCGUGAGUGAUGAAGGGUUUCGGCUCGUAAAACUCUGUUGUUGGAGAAGAACAGGUGUCAGAGUAACUGUUGACAUCUUGACGGUAUCCAACCAGAAAGCCACGGCUAACUACGUGCCAGCAGCCGCGGUAAUACGUAGGUGGCAAGCGUUGUCCGGAUUUAUUGGGCGUAAAGCGAGCGCAGGCGGUUUUUUAGGUCUGAUGUGAAAGCCUUCGGCUUAACCGGAGAAGUGCAUCGGAAACCGGGAGACUUGAGUGCAGAAGAGGACAGUGGAACUCCAUGUGUAGCGGUGAAAUGCGUAGAUAUAUGGAAGAACACCAGUGGCGAAGGCGGCUGUCUGGUCUGUAACUGACG